ACUGCUAUCGGAUUGAUACUAAGCCAUGCGAGUCUUGUAGCAAUACAAGGCGGACGGCUCAGUAACACGUAGUCAAUCUAACCUAUGGACGAGGAUAACCUCGGGAAACUGAGAAUAAUACUCGAUAGAUCAUUAUGCCUGGAAUGGUUUAUGGUCCAAAUGAAUUUCGCCAUAGGGUGGGACUGCGGUCUAUCAGCUUGUUGGUGAGGUAAUGGCCCACCAAGGCUAUAACAGAUACAGGCUCUGAGAGGAGAGGCCCGGAGAUGGGUACUGAGACACGGACCCAGGCCCUAUGGGGCGCAGCAGGCGAGAAGACUUUGCAAUGUGCGAAAGCACGACAAGGUUAAUCCGAGUGGUUCCUGCUAAAGGAAUCUUUUGUUAGUUGUAGCACUACUGAUGAAUAAGGGGUGGGCAAGCUCUGGUGUCAGCCGCCGCGGUAAAACCAGCACCUCAAGUGGUCAGGAGGAUUAUUGGGCCUAAAGCAUCCGUAGCCGGCUUUGUUAGUUUUCGGUUAAAUCUAUAUGCUCAACGUAUGGGCUGCCGGGAAUACUGCAAAGCUAGGGAGUGGGAGAGGUAGACGGUACUCCGUAGGAAGGGGUAAAAUCCUUUGAUCUAUGGAUUACCACCUGUGGCGAAGGCGGUCUACCAGAACACGUCCGACGGUGAGGGAUGAAAGCUGGGGGAGCAAACCGGAUUAGAUACCCGGGUAGUCCCAGCUGUAAACAAUGCAAACUCAGUGAUGCAUUGGCUUGUGGCCAGUGCAGUGCCGCAGGGAAGCCGUUAAGUUUGCCGCCUGGGAAGUACGUACGCAAGUAUGAAACUUAAAGGAAUUGGCGGGGGAGCACCACAAGGGGUGAAG
rnacentral:rRNA from 1 species